CCGGGGAGGAUGGAGGAAGGUCUGGGAAAGGGAGAGGAUGCGGGGAGGUCUGGGAGAGGAGACAAGGGAGGAUGGGGAAGUUCUGGGAGAGGGAGAGGAGACAGGGAAGGAUGGUGGAGGUCUGGGAGAGGGAGAGGAGACGGGGAGGAUGGAAAGAGCUCUCGGUGAGGUGAGGAGACAGGGGAGGAUGGGGGAAGUCUGAGAAAGGGGGAGGAUGCGGGGAGGUCUGGGAGAGGGAGAGGAGAUAGGGGAGGAUGGGAGGAGGUCUGGGAGAGGGGGAGGAUGCGGGGAGGUUUGGGAGAGGGAGAGGAGACAGGGGAGGAUGGGAGAAGGUCUGGGAGAGGGAGAGGAGACGGGGAGGAUGGGAGGAGGUCUGGGAGAGGGAACGGAGACGGGAGGAUGGGAGGAGGUCUGGGAGAGGGAAAGGAGACGGGAGGAUGGGAGAAGGUCUGGGAGAGGGAAAGGAGACGGGAGGAUGGGAGAAGGUCUGGGAGAGGGAAAGGAGACGGGAGGAUGGGAGAAGGUCUGGGAGAGGGAAAGGAGACGGGAGGAUGGGAGAAGGUCUGGGAGAGGGGAGGAGACUGGUGAGGAUGGGGGAGGAAUGGGAAAGGAGACAGGGGAGGAUGGGCGAGGAAUGCGAAAGAAGACAGGGGAGAAUUGGGAGGGAGAGGGGGAGGAGAAGGUCUGUUGUGUCCUCCUACAUUGUGUGAUAGAACAUGUUGGGUUGCUCUGUAAAAGCGCUCUGUUGCUCCUACCACCCAUUUUGAGG
ensembl:lncRNA